rfam:Gossypium arboreum cultivar AKA8401 contig_62088_1, whole genome shotgun sequence.
AAUAAGAGCAUGACAAAUCAUAUUUUUACUCCUGAUUCUCAAUUUUUUCCUCCAGAAAAAAUUCAAAUCCAACUAAAAAUCUUAAAAAUGAGGAGAAAAAAUUUGAUUUGUCAUACUCCUAAU